rnacentral:tRNA from 1 species
GCGAGAGUGGCGGAAUUGGUAGACGCGAAGGUCUCAAACACCUUUAACCUUUGGUUGUGUGGGUUCAAGUCCCAUCUCUCGCACCA